rnacentral:rRNA from 1 species
GAUUCAUCGUCAUUCCGCGGCGUACUAGUCCGCGCCUCGAUGCACGGGUCGGACGUGUCGACGUUCGCGGACGGCGUGCACUUCUCUCUUAGUAGACAUCGCGACCCGUUCGCGGUCUAAGCGUGAUUCGGGAGCCGCGCGGCCGGACGGUAGUCUAUGAAUCGCGCACGCGUUUUAACGCGUCAGGCCCGACGCAAGCGGUGUCGUCCUGCCUAUGUGCGGACGCGGGCGCGGCGCCGCUGUCGUCGCAGCCGCUGUCUCUGACCGUGCGCGUAUCCGUCUGCGAUGUUUCAGUUUCGGGCACUCGCAGGACCCGUCUUGAAACACGGACCAAGGAGUCUAGCAUGUGUGCGAGUCAUUGAGUUAAAACUGAGAGGCGUAACGAAAGUGAAGGCGCGCGCCGCGCGCUCAGGGAGGAUGGAGGGUCGCGCUCUCGCACCCCCGAGGCGUCUCGUUUCCAAUCCGUGAAUGUAGGCGCGCUCUGAGCACAGAUGCUGGGACCCGAAAGAUGGUGAACUAUGCCUGGUCAGGUCGAAGUCAGGGGAAACCCUGAUGGAGGACCGUAGCGAUUCUGACGUGCAAAUCGAUCGUCNNNNCUGGGUAUAGGGGCGAAAGACUAAUCGA